AGAUUGAACGCUAGCGGGAUGCUUUACACAUGCAAGUCGAACGGCAGCGCGGACUUCGGUCUGGCGGCGAGUGGCGAACGGGUGAGUAAUAUAUCGGAACGUGCCCAGUAGCGGGGGAUAACUACGCGAAAGCGUGGCUAAUACCGCAUACGCCCUACGGGGGAAAGGGGGGAUCGCAAGACCUCUCACUAUUGGAGCGGCCGAUAUCGGAUUAGCUAGUUGGUGGGGUAAAGGCUCACCAAGGCUUCGAUCCGUAGCUGGUUUGAGAGGACGACCAGCCACACUGGGACUGAGACACGGCCCAGACUCCUACGGGAGGCAGCAGUGGGGAAUAUUGGACAAUGGGCNCAAGCCUGAAUCCAGCCAUACCGCGUGGGUGAAGAAAGGCCU
rnacentral:rRNA from 1 species